GCACUUUCUCAUCAUCAAAAGGGCCACGCAACCCCCCACCCCCCAUUAAAGGAAAAAUACAAAUGCAUGUAGCAUAUAUUCAGCCUCCAUUCCAGUAAGAGUGAGAUUCAUCCUCUUUCAUUUGCAUGAACACCUCUCUCACUGACUCACUGCAGUAGCCAAAUAUGCAAGAGCAUCGAGGUAAAAGAGAGCAGUGUGAGUUUGAUACAAAAGGCUAUAAUAAUUGGCUUGAAGCCGGUUCACAAGGUUGGCAUUAUGGUGCCGGGGACAAUUAUGCAUCCACGAAGGACCUAUCAAGAAGCCCACUGAGUAUGACACCACCAAAUCAACUGCACAGCCAGUUCAGAGGACAAAUUUCUGAAUUGCCGAAUUCAGUGUGCAGUCAGGAGCAGGGAAAGGCCGCACCACCGGCAGUGCCUUCAACAAUAGGUGAAUACAUUGUACAUGGAAAUCAAAGAGAUCAUGGUGGUAGCUCAAAAGUAUACUCUUACCUCGAACCAGAGUUGAGGGAUAAUAUGCAAGCGCAUGGGCGGCAAGAGUUGGUAUAUGGCUUACUGCUACUUUUCUGCACUUAACGUGCUAAAACUAUUAGGUCAUAAUCGGAUUAGAUAUAUCCCGAUUUACAUCCCACGCCUCACUGUAAGACUCUGCCCUUUGUAAUGCCGGAGGAACCUGUUUAUGUGAAUGCGAAACAGUAUCAUGCGAUUCUGAGGCGAAGACAACUGCGAGCGAAAGCUGAAAUGGAGAACAAAGCGACGCGAGUUAGGAAGCCUUAUCUUCAUGAGUCGCGCCACCUUCACGCCCUGAGACGGGCGCGAGGAUGCGGGGGGCGAUUCAUCAACACAAAGAAGUCCAAUGGUGGUAACCAUGAGGAGGGGAGCAGCACGGGCAACUCUACUCCGGUGCCAUCACCAGAGUCUGAUUAUGGACUAGGCCAGCCAGCAACGAGGCGUGAGCAAUAUUCCCAUCACGACGGUGCAACAUUCUUCCAGUGGGCAUGCCAAUCGAAAUGAAAUAGUAUAAAUUUGUCCAAGUAUUAUAUGCAGGAUUUAUCCGGUGUGUAAAUUAUUGAGUGAUUUGUUGUGAAAUUUUUGGUUGUGAUGCCAAGCUAGAGAAUAUACAUAGAGUUGAAUGUAUACGACACAUAUAUAGAGCUCUCUCCCUUCCUUUGUAUACAAGCUGAUGUUUUUAUACAUAAUGAUUCUCUUGGAAUGAGAUUUUCUUAUA